UGAGAAUCUGCCUUGGGGUCGGGGACAACCACUGGAAACGGUGGCUAAUACCGGAUAAGCCUUUGGGUAAAAAAUUUAUUGCCCCAAGAGGAGCUCGCGUCUGAUUAGCUAGUUGGUGAGGUAAAAGCUCACCAAGGCAGCGAUCAGUAGCUGGUCUGAGAGGACGAUCAGCCACACUGGGACUGAGACACGGCCCAGACUCCUACGGGAGGCAGCAGUGGGGAAUUUUCCGCAAUGGGCGAAAGCCUGACGGAGCAAGACCGCGUGAGGGAGGAAGGCUCUUGGGUUGUAAACCUCUUUUCUCAGGGAAGAAGCUCUGACGGUACCUGAGGAAUCAGCCUCGGCUAACUCCGUGCCAGCAGCCGCGGUAAUACGGAGGAGGCAAGCGUUAUCCGGAAUUAUUGGGCGUAAAGCGUCCGCAGGUGGCGAUUCAAGUCUGCUGUCAAAGCACGGGGCUUAACUCCGUUAAGGCGGUGGAAACUGAAUAGCUAGAGUGCCGUAGGGGUAGAGGGAAUUCCCGGUGUAGCGGUGAAAUGCGUAGAGAUCGGGAAGAACAUCGGUGGCGAAAGCGCUCUACUGGACGGCAACUGACACUCAGGGACGAAAGCUAGGGGAGCGAAUGGGAUUAGAUACCCCAGUAGUCCUAGCUGUAAACGAUGGAUACUAGGUGUAGCUUGUGUCGACCCGAGCUGUGCCGAAGCUAACGCGUUAAGUAUCCCGCCUGGGGAGUACGCACGCAAGUGUGAAACUCAAAGGAAUUGACGGGGGCCCGCACAAGCGGUGGAGUAUGUGGUUUAAU
rnacentral:rRNA from 1 species